GCCACGAAUAAUAUACUAGAUUACCUACUUACAAGCAGAUGAGGAUGAUGAUGGGCUCUAGCUGCAGUCUGGCUCCACUGGUCUGGUGUAUAACAGGAUCUCUGGAGGCUGUUUGUAACUGUGGUCACACAAAUCAAUGUUCUGGGAGAACGAGAAGCAGCUCCAUUUUUGGGGGGCCCUUUACACAGCUCAAGGUCUGGGUCCCAGGGUCCACCUUCAUUUUCCACCAAUGAGUUUGUUCACAGGGGAUGGAGUGUGUAGGGAAUGUCCUGAUUUGUGUGUAAGGAAUGCAUUUUGUGAAUCUGUGUUUGUAUGUGUAAGGGCUGCAAGGUGUGUUUCUGUGUAUGUAAGGGAUGAAGUGUGUGAGUCUGUAAGGGGUGCAUUGAGUGUGUGUAAGGAAUGCAUUGUGUGUUUCUGUGUGUGCAAGGGAUGCAUUGUGUGUAAGGGUUGCAUUGCGUGUGUGUGUG